AGUGAACGCUGGCGGUAGGCCUAACACAUGCAAGUCGAACGGCAGCACAGUAAGAGCUUGCUCUUACGGGUGGCGAGUGGCGGACGGGUGAGGAAUACAUCGGAAUCUACUUUUUCGUGGGGGAUAACGUAGGGAAACUUACGCUAAUACCGCAUAUGACCUACGGGUGAAAGCAGGAGAUCUUCGCACCUUGCGCGAUUGAAUGAGCCGAUGUCGGAUUAGCUAGUUGGCGGGGUAAAGGCCCACCAAGGCGACGAUCCGUAGCUGGUCUGAGAGGAUGAUCAGCCACACUGGAACUGAGACACGGUCCAGACUCCUACGGGAGGCAGCAGUGGGGAAUAUUCGGCAAUGGGCGCAAGCCUGAUCCAGCCAUGCCGCGUGAGUGGAGAAGGCCUUCGGGUUGUAAAGCCCUUUUGUUGGGAAAGAAAAGCAGCAGGUGAAUACCCCGCUGUUCUGACGGUACCCAAAGAAUAAGCACCGGCUAACUUCGUG
rnacentral:rRNA from 1 species